AACGAACGUUAGCGGCGCGCCUAACACAUGCAAGUCGCACAAGAAAGGGCUUCGGCCCCGGUAAAGUGGCGCACGGGUGAGUAACACGUGGGUAACCUGCCCUCGAGCGGGGGAUAACAUUCCGAAAGGAGUGCUAAUACCGCGUAAGACCACGAUCUCGAAAGAGGACGAGGUAAAAGCUGGCCUCUGUAUACAAGCUAGCACUUGAGGAUGGGCUCGCGGCGCAUCAGGUAGUUGGUGAGGUAACGGCUCACCAAGCCGAAGACGCGUAGCUGGUCUGAGAGGAUGAUCAGCCACACUGGAACUGAGACACGGUCCAGACUCCUACGGGAGGCAGCAGUGGGGAAUCUUGCGCAAUGGGCGAAAGCCUGACGCAGCGACGCCGCGUGAGUGAUGAAGGCCUUCGGGUUGUAAAGCUCUGUGGGGCGAGACGAAUAAGUGCAGCCUAAUACGCUGCAUGAUGACGGUAUCGCCUUAGCAAGCACCGGCUAACUCUGUGCCAGCAGCCGCCGUAAAAC
rnacentral:rRNA from 1 species